GGGCAGAUGGCCGAGUGGUUAAGGCGUUGUGUUUAGGCCGCAAUGGGAAACCUCGCGAGUUCGAAUCUCGUUCUGCUCA
rnacentral:tRNA from 1 species